rnacentral:lncRNA from 1 species
GUGGGGUUUUGGUGAUAAAAAAUGAGGUGGAGAACGGCGAGGUUUAGCGGUAGAGGAUGAAGUGAGAGUGGGUGAGUGGACUCACCAACGACUCGGCACUGAUCGUAGUAGGCGGAUCGUCUGGAGCGGGUGACUCUUCGUCCACCACGUCCAAGGGAAGCACGGCCGUCGGGUCGCCAGCUUGUCGCUUGCAGUGUCGUCGGCGGUCGGGUCUUCUCUCAGUUCUCUCUCCAGAUCGAAUCAUGCGGCUAUCGGGUCAUCUCUCAAAUAUGGAUCAUACGACUAUCUGGUGUAGAGGUCUGCAACUAUGGCAGCGGAUGUCGUCGGAAGUAAAGAGAGAGGAUCGAAGAGAAAGAGGGGGCUAUGGAGUGAAUUUCAUUAAUUUUGGGCCCAAAUUGUAAAUUUUUAUUUUAUUUUAUAAUACUUUUUAUUAUUUUCAAAUAUUUAUAAAUAAUAACAAUUUUUAAUUAGAUUUUUUUCAUGUGGUUUAAACUUGACAUCUAUAUGAACAAAAUUGUGGGCUUCACAGUUGUCAUAUCAUCAUUUAACAAAUAAAUUAAUAUAAAAUUUAACGGAUGUGUGACAUUGCAAUGAAUUUCUAAGAUGAAGUAUGAUAUUACAAUGUUUAAAAAAAAUGAGAUAUGAGUUUGUUAUGUGACCUAAAGUCGAUGUGGUAAAAUAUAAUUUACCCUAAAAAAAUUGAUCAAACAUAUCCUCAUCAUCCAGACAAUAAUGAUAUCCUCAUCAUAAGAUAGUGGCGUAUUUGUGUGGCUCAUUCGUAUGUUUGUGAGAGUCAAUUUAUGAAUUGUGAGUUAGAGAGCAAUUUGAGAGAGUAUUCUCAGUUUGUUUGGGUUCUUUACUUGUUUGGUUUUGUUAGGUUCUGUAAUUUGUGAGAUUUGGAUUUGGGAGAGUUUAAACAUUUUUUUCUAAUCUUCGUUUGUUUAAUGGAAUUUCCUCAUCGUGCUUUGCUCAUGGAUGCAAACUUUACACCAAACUAUGUAAAUCUCUUCUGUUCAGUUUAAGAUUGCUUGUUUUAAUUAGUUUUU